GACGAACGCUGGCGGCGUGCUUAACACAUGCAAGUCGAACGAUGAAGAAAAGAAUUGCAGCUUCGGCAGAAAUUCAUUUCGGAUUAGUGGCAGACGGGUGAGUAACGCGUGAGCAACCUACCUCUUACAAAGGGAUAGCCUCGGGAAACCGGGAUUAAUACCAUAUAACAUUGCGACGAAGCAUUUCGAUGCAAUCAAAGCUACGGCGGUAAGAGAUGGGCUCGCGUCCCAUUAACCAGAUGGUGAGGUAACGGCUCACCAUAGUAACGAUGGGUAACCGGCCUGAGAGGGUGAACGGUCACACUGGAACUGAGACACGGUCCAGACUCCUACGGGAGGCAGCAGUGGGGAAUAUUGCACAAUGGAGGGAACUCUGAUGCAGCGACGCCGCGUGAGUGAUGAAGGAAUUCGUUUCGUAAAACUCUGUUCUAUGGGAAGAAAAGGACUGUACCAUAGGAGAAAGCUCCGGCUAACUACGUG
rnacentral:rRNA from 1 species